UGUCAAAAUGAGUACAUGUCGACGAAUUUUUAAAUUUUGGCAUAUCGUCAUCAAUCGCGUGAAAAAUGCAUCACUGGGGUUUAUUUCCAAGAGAAACAAAUACAGUUUACAAAUUAAAAGUAUUUAAUAUAACAUUUUUUCUGCAGUGCCCUUCCGAAUUUGAAUCUAUGGUAGACGCAACCAUAUUCGAACACGAAGAAGAGACGUAGAAAACGCCGAGAUGAAAACAUGGCUGCAAAUUUCAAGAUUUUGGAAUAUCAUCGUUCAUCGCGCAAAAAAUACAUCGCGGGGAUUUAUUUUAAGAAGAAACAGAGAUAUUUCACACAUAACAGGUAAUUAGAAUACCCAAGAAAUUACGCAAAAGCAAAACAAUACAGAUAAUAGAAAAGUGAGCAUACAGAAAAAUAUUUGAUAUGAUUCAACAACAAGGUGUUUAGUCAUAAAGAAUGAUUCCAAUUCGGAUUAGAUAGUUUUCAUCAAGUACGAGUGAAUAUACCUCGUACAACAUAAAAAUUACUCCGAGUUAGUUAUCAAAAAAACAAUUGUAGACAACUUCUAAAGAAAUUGUCAUAAGGAACUUGCCAAAAUUGCCAUCACUGAUUUAAGAUGGAUAUAUUUAUGCAAAUGAACAAACCAUCAUUGACCAUUGAUGAUUACUUUUAUGAAGAAUAUCUUUGACCAUUCAUCCAAAAAAAAAGCCGUUGAUAAUUUCAUCAAAAAGAUUACCGUUGUAACCCUACAAGGACUGAUGUCAUGUAGAUGAGAAGAGGUUUUCCAAGAAAUACGAUACUCGAAUAAAAAGAUUCAAAUAUACCAAGUAGACAACAAAUCAUCAUCGACAACUGAAUUAUAAAGAAUAGCGCCAAUCAGUUAUCGGAAACGAAAUCCUUGACGAUUUCACUCAAAGGAUGAUCAUUGAAACUUUACCAAAAAUCAUCAUCAUUUAAUUAGAAGAAAAUCAUUUUCGGAGUAUAUCACUUCAACAAAUAGAUUUAAAUAUAAAAAGUAACUUUUUUAAACACUUUAAAAACAAUAUAUUUGUGAACAUAUUUAAAAAAAAUUUGUAAUUCUCUAAUUGAAAUAUAUAAACUAUAUAAAAAAUAUUAUUUGAAAAUUUUGUCAUUCAUAUAAAUAAUUAUCGACUUAUAAAAUAUAUUUUUUAUAUAGUUAUAUAUUUAAUUGUAAUAUCAAUAUUGUAUUAAUAUUUUUUUCAAAAUUGUAAAAAUAACACUAUAUUAUUACACUUUUCCUUUUGUUCUAAAUUUAAACGAAAAUUUUUUAUUCGAAAAAUUGAUCAAAAUAUGUAAAAACCAUUAUUAUUUUUUGAAUAAAGUGUCAGUGAUUUUUAUAUAUACAUUAAAUAUGGAUGAUAAAUAUGUUUGUAAUAUAUAUAAGAAUAAUGCGAUUGUAAUUCU